rnacentral:rRNA from 1 species
UAGAGUUUGAUUAUGGCUCAGAACGAACGCUGGCGGCAGGCCUAAUACAUGCAAGUCGAACGCACCUUUCGGGGUGAGUGGCAGACGGGUGAGUAACGCGUGGGAACCUUCCCUGUGGUACGGAAUAACUCCGGGAAACCGGUGCUAAUACCGUAUACGCCCUUCGGGGGAAAGAUUUAUCGCCAUAGGAUGGGCCCGCGUCGGAUUAGCUAGUUGGUGAGGUAAUGGCUCACCAAGGCUUCGAUCCGUAGCUGGUCUGAGAGGAUGAUCAGCCACACUGGGACUGAGACACGGCCCAGACUCCUACGGGAGGCAGCAGUGGGGAAUUUUCCGCAAUGGGCGAAAGCCUGACGGAGCAAUACCGCGUGAGGGAGGAAGGCUCUUGGGUUGUAAACCUCUUUUCUCAGGGAAUAAGAAAGUGAAGGUACCUGAGGAAUCAGCAUCGGCUAACUCCGUGCCAGCAGCCGCGGUAAU